UGCUUUUGAUGGGAAUUUGAUUACUGAUGAAAUUCCAUUUUUCUCCCUACCCCCCCUCCCUCACCAGAGGAUGCUGGACUCUUCAGAUUCUGGAUCCCAGAGCAGUCUAACGGAGAGAUGUGGGAGCAGUGUCAGAGGCACAGAUACACAGGCAUCCUGCAAGACCAAGAAAGAGAUGCCGGGCAGCCCUGAGCAGCAGACAGCUGAGGGAAGCCAGGCUAGGGCUUCCUGUAGCUCCCGAGUUAAACUGUAUUUUCAGGAUUGCUGCCUUCUGCCGCAGUGAAAUUCUGAGAAAGUCAAGCUGCAGCCAUGAAA
rnacentral:lncRNA from 1 species